rnacentral:rRNA from 1 species
UUGAAGAGUUUGAUCAUGGCUCAGAUUGAACGCUGGCGGCAGGCCUAACACAUGCAAGUCGAGCGGAAACGAGUUAUCUGAACCUUCGGGGAACGAUAGCGGCGUCGAGCGGCGGACGGGUGAGUAAUGCCUGGGAAUAUGCCUUGAUGUGGGGGAUAACCAUUGGAAACGAUGGCUAAUACCGCAUAAUGCCUUCGGGCCAAAGAGGGGGAUCUUCGGACCUCUCGCGUCAAGAUUAGCCCAGGUGGGAUUAGCUAGUUGGUGAGGUAAUGGCUCACCAAGGCGACGAUCCCUAGCUGGUCUGAGAGGAUGAUCAGCCACACUGGAACUGAGACACGGUCCAGACUCCUACGGGAGGCAGCAGUGGGGAAUAUUGCACAAUGGGCGCAAGCCUGAUGCAGCCAUGCCGCGUGUGUGAAGAAGGCCUUCGGGUUGUAAAGCACUUUCAGUCGUGAGGAAGGGGUAUACGUUAAUAGCGUAUGUCUUUGACGUUAGCGACAGAAGAAGCACCGGCUAACUCCGUGCCAGCAGCCGCGGUAAUACGGAGGGUGCGAGCGUUAAUCGGAAUUACUGGGCGUAAAGCGCAUGCAGGUGGUUCGUUAAGUCAGAUGUGAAAGCCCGGGGCUCAACCUCGGAACUGCAUUUGAAACUGGCGGACUAGAGUACUGUAGAGGGGGGUAGAAUUUCAGGUGUAGCGGUGAAAUGCGUAGAGAUCUGAAGGAAUACCGGUGGCGAAGGCGGCCCCCUGGACAGAUACUGACACUCAGAUGCGAAAGCGUGGGGAGCAAACAGGAUUAGAUACCCUGGUAGUCCACGCCGUAAACGAUGUCUACUUGGAGGUUGUUCCCUUGAGGAGUGGCUUUCGGAGCUAACGCGUUAAGUAGACCGCCUGGGGAGUACGGUCGCAAGAUUAAAACUCAAAUGAAUUGACGGGGGCCCGCACAAGCGGUGGAGCAUGUGGUUUAAUUCGAUGCAACGCGAAGAACCUUACCUACUCUUGACAUCCAGAGAAGCCAGCGGAGACGCAGGUGUGCCUUCGGGAGCUCUGAGACAGGUGCUGCAUGGCUGUCGUCAGCUCGUGUUGUGAAAUGUUGGGUUAAGUCCCGCAACGAGCGCAACCCUUAUCCUUGUUUGCCAGCACGUAAUGGUGGGAACUCCAGGGAGACUGCCGGUGAUAAACCGGAGGAAGGUGGGGACGACGUCAAGUCAUCAUGGCCCUUACGAGUAGGGCUACACACGUGCUACAAUGGCGCAUACAGAGGGCGGCCAACCAGCGAUGGUGAGCGAAUCCCAAAAAGUGCGUCGUAGUCCGGAUUGGAGUCUGCAACUCGACUCCAUGAAGUCGGAAUCGCUAGUAAUCGUAGAUCAGAAUGCUACGGUGAAUACGUUCCCGGGCCUUGUACACACCGCCCGUCACACCAUGGGAGUGGGCUGCAAAAGAAGUGGGUAGUUUAACCUUCGGGAGGACGCUCACCACUUUGUGGUUCAUGACUGGGGUGAAGUCGUAACAAGGUAGCGCUAGGGGAACCUGGCGCUGGAUCACCUCCUU